UACGUAGGGGGCAAGCGUUGUCCGGAAUCAUUGGGCGUAAAGAGCGUGUAGGCGGCUCGGUAAGUCCGCUGUGAAAGUCCAGGGCUCAACCCUGGAAUGCCGGUGGAACUGUCGAGCUAGAGUCCGGAAGAGGCGAGUGGAAUUCCUGGUGUAGCGGUGAAAUGCGUAGAUAUCAGGAGGAACACCUGUGGCGAAAGCGGCUCACUGGACCAUAACUGACGCUGAUGCACGAAAGCUAGGGGAGCAAACAGG
rnacentral:rRNA from 1 species